rnacentral:lncRNA from 1 species
UCACCGCCGCCGGGAGUGGUUCCGUCUCAGUUCCGUGUAGGCUUUUAUGGUUUUCUCUUGGGCUUCUCGACAUUUUUUCUUGUAGUGGCAUCAGAUCUGGGCUCAAGGUAAGAUUGUGACGUCUCUGAUGUUGGUCUCUGGUCGCCCUUGUCUGGAUGGGAGAAUCGAUGGGUGUUGGUCUCUUUGGCCUUGGUGUGGUGGUCCGAAUCAGUCUGGCAGAUUCUGGCACCGCUGUAGCUAGACGGUCAAGCGUUCUCUGGG